rnacentral:rRNA from 1 species
ACUCCUACGGGAGGCAGCAGUGGGGAAUUUUGGACAAUGGGCGCAAGCCUGAUCCAGCAAUGCCGCGUGCAGGAUGAAGGCCUUCGGGUUGUAAACUGCUUUUGUACGGAACGAAAAGCCCUGGGUUAAUACCCUGGGGUCAUGACGGUACCGUAAGAAUAAGCACCGGCUAACUACGUGCCAGCAGCCGCGGUAAUACGUAGGGUGCGAGCGUUAAUCGGAAUUACUGGGCGUAAAGCGUGCGCAGGCGGUUUUGUAAGACAGAGGUGAAAUCCCCGGGCUCAACCUGGGAACUGCCUUUGUGACUGCAAGGCUAGAGUACGGCAGAGGGGGAUGGAAUUCCGCGUGUAGCAGUGAAAUGCGUAGAUAUGCGGAGGAACACCGAUGGCGAAGGCAAUCCCCUGGGCCUGUACUGACGCUCAUGCACGAAAGCGUGGGGAGCAAACAGGAUUAGAUACCCU